UACAUAAACGAGCAAAAGCAAUGGUCAAAUGCAAUGGUUAUAGCUAACGCAACGGUCCAAUGCAACGGGUAAAGCUAAAUGCAACGAAAUUUUUUCCUAUUGCAACAGUUUUAAGAUAACCGUUGCGGUAGCUCUUCAUAUGCAACGAAUUUUCUGCCUAUUGCAAUGGCUUUGUAAUGGCUGUUGCAUUAAUUCCUCCGUAUAACUUAUUAGCAUGUGCAAGGUGCAAAUGUGUGUGCCUUUCUUAAUCAAGCAAAAUUAGUGUACCCAGAAUUUCGUGAAAAGCUCACUAUCUCUCCUCUGCAUUCUCUUUACUUCCUUUUCAUAUCUCUGUCCUCUCUCACCCUCAACCUCUCAUCUCUUAAUUCUCAUCAAACACCCCCAUUGCAUGCUUUCUCCUUCAUCAUUCACCGGGUAAACUCAAAUAUCCUAAUAUCAAUUUUUAGGGUUUCGAAUUUGCUUAAAUUUGAAGAAGCUUUAUCGAGUUUCGCUCACCGUCCCUCUCGCCUCCUUCACCAGGUCACACUCCUAAGAGUCCCAGCUAUCCUGUUGAUUUGUUGUCGGUGUUUUGUAAUCUCCUCCUCUUUCAAGGGGACCAAGCAAUUUGAACAAAAGCUGUUUGCCGAGAUUAGAGGACAAAUAAAGGAGGAUGACACCUUUACGGAAAGGUAACUACUACUACGAAGAGAAUGUUAAGGCUAAGGAGUAUGCAUACUGUUGCAUUGAUACUUUAAAGGUAUAAAAACAUAAGCCAUUGCUGCUGGUGCUAUUUCUGCUCUGCCGGAGCUGUUGUUGCUGCUGCUAUUUCUGUUGUGCCGGAGCUGCUGCUGCUGCUAUUUCUGCUCUGCCAGAGCUGGUGCUGCCUGCCUGCUACUGCCAGCUGUUGUUACUUCUGCAGUUCUGGAGAUGCUACUACUUGAAUUGAAUUUUUUUUUCUUUUUUUUAAAAAAAAUUGUAAAGUUACAAGUUAUUAAAGAAAAUAUAAGUUUUACGUAUUUUGGCUUAGGAAUUAUUUCAAUGAAGCAGUAACUGCAUAAUCAUACAAUGUAAAUUAAAUACAAUAUUUUAUUAAUCAAAAUGAAAGAUUGUUAUUCAAUUUCGUUUACC